rnacentral:rRNA from 1 species
CAAUAGCGUAUAUUUAAGUUGUUGCAGUUAAAAAGCUCGUAGUUGGAUUUCGGAUGGGACUUGCCGGUCCGUCGUUUCGAUGUGCACUGGCCAGUCCUAUCUUGUUGUCGGGGACUAGCUCCUGGGCUUCACUGUCCGGGACUAGGAGCUGACGAGGUUACUUUGAGUAAAUUAGAGUGUUCAAAGCAAGCCUACGCUCUGAAUACAUUAGCAUGGAAUAACAUGAUAGGACUCUGGCUUAUCUUGUUGGUCUGUGAGACCAGAGUAAUGAUUAAGAGGGACAGUCGGGGGCAUUCGUAUUUCAUUGUCAGAGGUGAAAUUCUUGGAUUUAUGAAAGACGAACUUCUGCGAAAGCAUUUGUCAAGGAUGUUUUCAUUAA